rnacentral:lncRNA from 1 species
CCCCUUCGAAAAUAUUACUAUAUAUACAUGGUUAAAAUUAUUUUUUAGAUGUAUAUAAUAGAUGUCGAACCCCCUUCGACUAGUUCGUAUGUUUACUCCUUCGAAUUUUGAACCCCCUUAUUGAAAAUCCUGGCUCUGCCACUGCGUACAAGGAUAUUGAGUAGAUAGUUGAUGUAUCAGACUCGAUACUUCAAAAGAAUGGAGGAGAAGACGAUCUACGGCUGCAAGUGUGCAUGAAGACAAUAUAUGAAAUAACUUAGCAAACAUUCUUUGAAACAAACAGUUCACAAUUCAUAGAUCAGAAAAAUAAUUUCCCAGCACGUCUAAAACAAGCAAAAAUGGAAAAGAAAAACAAAACAGUUCCAAAGGUAGAUAAAAAGUUCUUAAGCUUUGCAAACCACACCAUCCCUCUGCAAUGUCCAACACAAACGAAUCAGAUCGAUACAUAACCAUCACAACGGUAAAAAGAUUAUGCAAUCACACCUUGAUCUUUGCCAACACGAGCUUAAACCUGUCAUAAUCAUUGAGUGAGGCCGUCCUCUUCUGCACGAUCGACUUCCUUCCUCAGGAACUGGACUCCCACUUGGUCUUCACAUAUGCGAGGACAUAAAGCAAAUGAGAGUUAAUCAAGUUCUUACGUAACCCUGUCGUUAGCCAAAUGACUCAAAUUACCAUUUCUGGAUGAUGAAAACCGUUUUUCCUAAUUAAAAAUUCAAAUUUGAAUACUGCAAUUCAGCCAACGUACACGUAUCUUGAUCUCUAGCUCGGCCACUGUUUCCAGUGAUAUGUAUUUUCUGAGGGGACUAAUUAACACAUAGUCUAGUCACUUUAGUAUUUAGUAUUGUAACUCUAGUGCUACAAAGAGUUAAGUUUAGUAGUGACGAUUCAUGAGAUUAACCUCUAAAUUUUGUGAUGACUGAAAAUCAGAAAGUAACACAAGAUGCUGUUCUAUCUUAUGAAAAAGAUUAGAAAGGUGAAACUCUACUUCUUUUUAAGCUUUGUAUUCUAAUUGAUAGAAUUUAUUUUCUGUAUGAUAGUUUUGUUUUACUUGGAAAAAGUGGGAGUAGAUGUGCAACACAUGGAUAAAGACAAUAAAAAGACAAAAGCACAACAACCCAAAUUUGACUAAAGAAUGACAACAUUUUCUCUAAUAAAAUUGAACAGACAAAGUGUGAAUAAGAGUUUAGAAAAAAAUGGGAGUAGAUGUGUAACACAUGGAUAAAGACAAUUAAAAGACAAAAGCACAACAACCCAAAUUUGACUAAAGAAUGACAAUAAUAUUUGAGUGACUUUUCUCUUACAAAAACAAAGAAAGGUGACUUUCUGAGAUAAUUAUCUAUAGUUGAAUGACCACGUGAGAAAUCAACUCUUGACGUCUACUACAUAUGAAUUAGAGAUAAUGUAGUUUAGAAAAUUAUUAAUUUAAGACUGAAAAUUGUUGAAACAAAUAUGUCUAUAUCAUAUGCUAAGGCAGAGUGGUCAUGAUCAAUGUGUGAUAACAAAACUAUUUUUGCCACUUCGGUUAAGUCCUUGUCUGAAUUAGUGUUGGUCUUUAAUUAUAAUUUACGUACAAUAUAAAAUCCCAUGAACCCGAAACAAUAAACUCAAAAUAUGAUGAUGGUUUCCAGCAAAAUACUCUCUUCACUUCAGUGUCUCACUCUUUUAUAUCUCUUUACAGUUACUUUUGCUUCGACUGAGGAAGCAACUGCCCUCUUGAAAUGGAAAGCAACUUUCAAGAACCAGAAUAAUUCCUUAUUGGCUUCAUGGACGCCAAGUUCUAAUGCAUGCAGGGACUGGUAUGGAGUUAAAUGCUUUAAUGGUAGGGUAAACACGUUGAAUAUUACAAAUACUAGUGUCAGUGCUACACUCUAUGCUUUUCCAUUUUCAUCUCUCCCUUUUCUUGAGAAUCUUAAUCUUAGCAUGAACAAUUUCUCUGGCAUCAUUCCACCUGAGAUUAGUAAUCUCACUAAUCUUGUCUAUCUUGAUUUGAACAUCAAUCAGAUUUCAGGAACAAUUCCACCACAAAUCGGAUCACUAACCAAGCUUCAGAUCCUCCGUAUAUUUGACAACCAUUUAAAUGACUCUAUUCCUAAAGAAGUAGGUUACCUAAGGUCUCUUACUAAGCUAUCUUUGGGUAGGAACUUUCUUAGUGGUUCUAUUCCUGCUUCAUUGAGGAAUUUGAACAACUUGUCCUUUUUGUUUCUUUAUGAAAAUCAACUUUUUGGGCCUCUAUUCCUAAGGAAAUAGGUUACCUAAGGUCUCUUAGUGAACUAGAUUUAAGUAGUAACUCUCUAAAUGGCUCUAUUCCUGCUUCAUUGGGGAAUUUGAACAACUUGACUUAUUUGUAUCUUUCUGAUAAUCACAUUUCGGGCUCUAUUCCUGAGGAAAUAGGUUACCUAAGGUCUCAUAGUGAACUAGAUUUAAGUUAUAACUCUCUAAAUGGUUCUAUUCCUGCUUCAUUGGGCAAUUUGAACAACUUGUCCUUUUUGUCUCUUCGUGAAAAUCAACUUUCUGGCUCUAUUCCUCAAGAAAUAGGUUACCUAAGGUCUCUUACUGAUCUUCGUUUGAACAAUAACUUUCUUAAUGGUUCAAUUCCUCUUGAAAUAAGUUACCUAAGGUCUCUUAGUUUCAUAGAUCUGAGUAUUAACUCUCUUAAUGGUUCUAUUCCUGCUUCAUUGGGGAAUUUGAGAAAUGUGCAAAGAAUGUUUCUUGAUGAAAACAAUCUCACUGAGGAAAUUCCUUUAUCUAUGUGCAAUUUAAAAUCACUUGAUAUUUUGUUUUUGCGGAGAAACAACUUGAAGGGAAAAGUUCCGCAAUGUUUGGGUAAUAUUAGCGGCCUCCAGGUUAUGACGAUGUCACGUAAUAAUCUUAAUGGAGAGAUCCCUUCAUCUAUUUCCAAUUUAAAAUCACUACAAAUUCUAGAUUUGGGAAGAAAUAGUCUGGAGGGAGCAAUUCCACAAUGUUUUGGCAAUAUUAAUACCCUACAGGUUUUUGAUAUGCAGAACAACAAAUUUUCUGGGACUCUUCCAACAAAUUUUAGCAUUGGAAGUUCACUUAUAAGUCUCAAUUUGCAUGGCAAUGAACUAGAGGGGGAAAUCCCUCGAUCUUUGGCCAAUUGCAAAAAGUUGCAAGUUCUUGAUCUAGGAAAUAAUCAUCUCAAUGACACAUUCCCCAUGUGGUUGGGAACUUUGUUAGAGCUGAGAGUUUUAAGAUUGACAUCGAAUAAAUUGUAUGGACCCAUAAGAUCUUCAGGGGCUGAAAUCAUGUUUCCUGAUCUUCGAACCAUAGAUCUCUCUAACAAUGCCUUCUCGAAAGACUUACCAACGAGUUUGUUUCAACAUUUGAAAGGCAUGAGGACAAUUGAUCAAACAAUGAUGGUACCAAGUUAUGAAGGAGAUGGAAGUUACGAAGACUCGAUAGUUGUUGCAUCGAAGGGAUUGAAGCUUGAAGUUUUGAGAAUUUUGUCUUUGUACACAGUUAUCAAUCUUUCAAACAACAAAUUUGAAGGACAUAUUCCUAGUGUUCUAGGAGAUCUCAUUGCUCUUCGGGUGUUGAAUAUAUCUCACAAUAGAUUGAAAGGCCAUAGACCACCAUCACUUGGACGUUUAUCUGUAGUGGAAUCAUUGGACCUUUCAUUUAACCGCCUUUCGGGAGAGAUACCACAACAACUUGCUUCUCUUACGUCUCUUGAAUUCUUAAAUCUCUCCCACAAUUAUCUCCAAGGAUGCAUCCCUCAAGGACCCCAAUUUCAUACCUUUGAGAAUAGUUCAUUUGAUGGUAAUGAUGGAUUACGUGGAUUCCCCGUUUCAAAAGGUUGUGGCAAUGAUCCUGUGUCAGAGACAAAUUAUACAGUAUCUGCGCUAGCUGAUCAAGAAAGCAAUUCUGAAUUUCUCAAUGAUUUUUGGAAAGCUGCUCUGAUGGGCUAUGGCAGUGGAUUAUGUAUUGGAUUAUCCAUAAUGUAUUUCAUGAUCUUAACUAGAAAUCCGAAAUGGCUUGCUAGAAUCAUUGAAGAAAUGGAACACAAAAUUAACAUGCGAAGGAGAAAGAAGCAGCGAGGUUAAAGGAAUUACAGAAGAAGAAAUAAUCGCUUAUAGACAAGUUACCAAUAAAGAAAGAUUUGAUUUCAGAACUUCAGGUAUUCAAGCUAAGCUCAACACUCAUCUUUUUUAGUUCAAUCUACUACUAAUACACUAGGUUUUAUGCUUUUAUCUUAUAAACAACAACUAACUAAUGCUCGAUACGAAGCAUAUUUUUCUUUCCAACAACUUUAAGAAGCUGAAGAUUUGAAAAAGGAUUAGCCUUAGCUAAUGUUAUGGAUGGUUUAACAGUGAACAACUAAUGCAUAAUUCGGCUUUGAUUGAAAUAUAAUUUACAAUUGUUUGACUCACUAUCUUAUUUUUCAGAUUUUAAAUGCCAAGAAUAAGAAGAAGUUGGCGUAAUGGAUUUGGUUCUUCCUGCAGCUUAUGAUGUUGGAUUUGAAUUUUAGUUUCUUUUUAGCUUUAUAAGAAAGCUUUUUCUUAACUUGGAAAAUGUAAUAUUAUGAAUUUUGACAAUAUAUAAAGUUUCUGUAAGGCAAAGUGUAAUAUAGUUUUACCUCUGGUGGCAUGAGUCAGUCCUCUUCUGCUCUCCCAAAGCACCUCUGUCAAAAACAAAAAAGAUCACAACUUUAGCUCAAUUUUAUGAAUAAUCAAACACCAAGAAUCAUAAAAACUCAAAUUUUGUGUAAAGUUUCCAACAAUCAUAGAGUGUGCACAGACCUUUACCCUUAACUCAAGAUAAUCCCGAAUCAAUCACUUUAGAAUAUAUGAAUCAUACAUAUAUAUGUAUUCUAAGGCAGCAAUUAGGUAAACAAAGAAAAGGGGUUCUUCAAAAAUAGAGUUUUGAUGAAAUCAAGAAGUUAAAAAUUGAACCUUUUGCAUUGGGUUUCUUAGAAAUGAUGUUCAUUUUGAUUGAACCAACAACAACAGUAGAAGUGUAGAACAGAUUUAUGGGAAAUUGGUAUUCUUGGUCUGAUAACUGGGACAGAAGAAUGGAAGCUACAAUAAAGAUUAUAAUUUUUAACAA